rnacentral:rRNA from 1 species
UACGUAGGGUGCAAGCGUUAAUCGGAAUUACUGGGCGUAAAGCGUGCGCAGGCGGUUUUGUAAGUCAGAAUGUGAAAUCCCCGGGCUUAACCUGGGAACUGCGUUUGAAACUACAAGGCUAGAGUGUGGCAGAGGGGGGUGGAAUUCCACGUGUAGCAGUGAAAUGCGUAGAUAUGUGGAGGAAUACCGAUGGCGAAGGCAGCCUCCUGGGCCAACACUGACGCUCAUGCACGAAAGCGUGGGGAGCAAACAGG